rnacentral:tRNA from 90 species
GGCCGGUUGGCAGAGUGGUUAUGCAGCGGAUUGCAAAUCCGUGUACGCCGGUUCGAUUCCGACAUCGGCCUCCA